AAUGAACGUUGGCGGCAUGGAUUAGGCAUGCAAGUCGAGCGAGAAGUGUAGCAAUACACGGAAAGCGGCGGAAGGGAGAGUAAUACGUGGGAAUCUGCCCUUAGACCUGGGAUAGCAGCGGGAAACUGCUGGUAAUACCAGAUAAUGUCUAUGGACCAAAGGUGUGAUUCCGUCUAGGGAUGAGCCCACGUCCUAUUAGCUAGUUGGUAGGGUAAUGGCCUACCAAGGCGAUGAUGGGUAGCUGGUGUGAGAGCACGACCAGCCUCACUGGCACUGAGACACUGGCCAGACACCUACGGGUGGCUGCAGUCGAGAAUCUUCGGCAAUGGACGAAAGUCUGACCGAGCGACGCCGCGUGCGGGAUGAAGGUCUUCGGAUUGUAAACCGCUGUCGAGGGGAAUCAAAUGUUAGGGGGUUCUCCCCCUAAUUUGAGAGAACCCUGGAGGAAGGGGAGGCUAAGCUCGUGC
rnacentral:rRNA from 1 species